AACGAACGCUGGCGGCGUGGAUAAGACAUGCAAGUCGAACGGGAUUUUUUUCUGUAGCAAUACAGAGAAAAGUCUAGUGGCGAACGGGUGCGUAACACGUGAGCAACCUGCCGUGAAGUGGGGGAUAGCUCGCCGAAAGGCGAAUUAAUACCGCAUGUGGCCAAGGAAGACAUCUUCCUGACGCCAAAGCCGGGGCAACCUGGCGCUUCUCGAGGGGCUCGCGGCCUAUCAGCUUGUUGGUGAGGUAACGGCUCACCAAGGCUAUGACGGGUAGCUGGUCUGAGAGGACGACCAGCCACACUGGAACUGAGACACGGUCCAGACACCUACGGGUGGCAGCAGUCGAGAAUUUUUCACAAUGGGGGAAACCCUGAUGGAGCGACGCCGCGUGGAGGAUGAAGGUUUUCGGAUUGUAAACUCCUGACAUUAGAGAACAAGGCACACGGUUUAACUGGCCGUGUGUUGAUAGUAUCUGAAGAGGAAGAGACGGCUAACUCUGUGCCAGCCGCCGCAGUAA
rnacentral:rRNA from 1 species